GAGACCUCCCAUGUCAAAGAUAUUUUAACUGUUUAUGAGGAAGUGUCAAGAUAAGCUAUUAAUUUUUAGAAAUCUGGUAUUUUCUUUAGUGCCAAUUCUCCUGUUGAAGUUUGACAAGAAAUAACUAAUAUCUUAAAUAUUUUAUCUCCUUAUGAUCAUGGCAAAUAUUUGGGUCUUUCGUCUUUAGUGGAUAAGAAAAAAGGCAGAUUUUUGCUUUUUUCAAAGAGAGACUUUGGAGGCGUAUUUCUGGGUGGAAGGGUAGAUUUUUAUCGUGGGCAGGUAAGGAAGUUUUGCUUAAGUCUGUGGCUCAAGCUAUCCCUUCUUAUUGUAUAAGUGUUUUUUACAUCCCCCUAUCUACUUAUGAGGAAUUACAGAGGAUAAUGAAUUCUUUUUGGUGGGGUUCAAAACAGAAUGGACAGAGGAAUAUUCAUUGGACGACUUGGCAUUGGAUGUGCUCUAAAAAAGAGGUUAGUGGUUUAGGCUUCCGAAAUCUUAGUUGUUUUAACUUAGCCAUGCUUGGAAUGCAGGUUUAGCGUUUACUUAUUAAUCCUUGUACUCUUCUCUAUAGGAUUUUCAAAGCUAAAUAUUUCCCAAGGGGGGACUUUUUAGAUGCUCCGGAGGGAUUUAAUCCCAAUUUUGUCUCAAAGAGUCAAUUGCAAUCCACGAAUUUGUUGAGGAAAGGGUUGAGAUGGAGGGUUGGGAAUGGUAGGAAGAUCAAGGUUUGGAGUGAUCCUUGGCUUUGUCGGGAUUCAAACUUCUAUAUUGAAACUCCUUUAAUUGCAGAACAUGAAGAUCUUCUGAUAAAUGACCUUGUAUUUAGUAGCGAUGGUUGUUGGGAUAUUCACAAAAUUCAGAGCCUAUUUAUUCCUAGUGUUGUGGAUUAUAUUCUUAGAAUUACUUUUACUCAUAUUCAGUCAGAGGAUAGUUAUAUUUGGCAUUUUUCAAGGCACGGUAUGUAUACUGUUAAAUCUGAAUAUCAUUUAAUUUUUGACGAGAGAUAUGGUAAUAAUUUUAUGGGACCUAUGAUUAAUUGGAAGAAGCUUUAUCAUACUCCUCUUCCACCAAAAGUAAAAAAUUUUCUUUGGAGGGCUAUUAAUGGAAUUCUUCCAACGAAAUUUAAUUUAUUACGGAGGGGCGUUGCUGUGGAUAGUUCUUGUCUUUUUUGUGGUGUUAAUGAAGACACUGAUCAUGCUUUGAUUUUAUAUCAUAAUGCCAUGGCGUGUUGGGCCUUAGUUGGUGCGUUUAUCAAUGAUAAUUUUCAGAAUUUGUUGAUGUUGGUGCAAUACGUUCUCUCUCAUUCAGACUCUGAUUUUGUGGCUUGCUGUCUUAUGCUUCUGUGGAGCUUAUGAAGCAAACGAAAUCAAAUGUUCUUCCAAGGUAUUACAUAUAAUCAUGAGGACGUUAUCUCCUUUGUGGCUUAUGUUUUGCAGGAAUGGAAAGCCGCUCAAUCUUGUCCUCCCAUGUGUGAUGGUCACUCUCCACAGGUUGACGUUCCUACUUCGUGGCUUCCUCCCCAUUGGGUACUCUCAAGAGCAAUGUUGAUGCCGGUCUUUCCAUGGGAGACAAUAAAACCAGCUUUGGUGCAGUGGUUAGGGGUCUAGGUGGCUUAUUUCAUGCGGCUUUUUUAGGUUUUCAUAAUGGCUUGUUGUCUCCUUCAAUUGCCGAAGCAGUUGCUUUCCAUGAAACUCUAUCCUUGCUUUUGACAAUGACCUAUGGUUCUGUUAUUGUGGAAACUGAUUGUAAGGAAGUGUUUAAUGCCAUGAGGUCUAGGGAAGAGGAUUUAUCAGAAUUUGGUCAGGUCAUUUCCAAUUGUAAAUUGCUUUUGUCUUAGGGAUUAGGUAUUUCCCUUCAUAGGAUUAAGUGACAAGCUAAUAAAGCUGCUCAUUCUCUUGCGAGGGCGGCUUUAGUCCUUCUGUGUGGUUUGAGAUUCCUAGUUCUAUUUCUGAUAUUUUGUAUUCUAAGGUUUACCGGGUUUUUUCACUUAACACUAUGGGUUCUAGGUUGGGUGUAUUUGGGGGGUCUGAUGACCGGAUUUAAUUUGGAUCUAUUCUGUAAAGUUUUUAUUGGUUUUUAAUAAAAAUUUUAAUUUCAA
rnacentral:misc_RNA from 1 species